CUGCGAGCAUGGAAAAACAAAUAUCGUGCUCAAUAAUUUAGUUGUUUAAGUUUAAAUGCUGUUUUUGUGCCUUUUUGCCGAAUAGGAAACAAAUCAUUUCACGGAAGUUACUGCUGAGUGUGAACCGCAGAAAACAAAUAGGAUGCUCCUGAGCGGAGAAAAAAUGAUCAACGAAAAGUUUUCAAUAAAUUGGAGACAAAUGUACCCACGGCAAACCGGCAAACUGCAGAUACAUCAUCCUCCGGCAUUUGAAAGAGUCGACAAGUGCAGCAAUUCGUGCGGGUGUGGAGUAGCGCAAGAGUGGCAUAAAUCUGCCAGACACUAUCAGUUUCGAACGAACCGAAAAUUCCAC